GCCAGUGUAGCUCUGUGGUUAGAGCAUCGGCCUGCAGACUGAAGGGUCCCGGGUUCGAUUCCCAUCAAGGGCA
rnacentral:tRNA from 1 species